AGGAAAUAGCUAUAUCCGAGACAGGUGGUGCAUGGUUGUCGUCAGCUCGUGUCGUGAGAUGUUGGGUUAAGUCCCGCAACGAGCGCAACCCUUAUCGUUAGUUACCAUCAUUAAGUUGGGGACUCUAGCGAGACUGCCAGUGACAAGCUGGAGGAAGGCGGGGAUGACGUCAAAUCAUCAUGCCCCUUAUGACCUGGGCUACACACGUGCUACAAUGGAUGGAGCAGAGGGAAGCGAAGCCGCGAGGUGAAGCAAAACCCAGAAAACCAUUCUCAGUUCGGAUUGUAGUCUGCAACUCGACUACAUGAAGUUGGAAUCGCUAGUAAUCGCGAAUCGGCAUGUCGCGGUGAAUACGUUCUCGGGCCUUGUACACACCGCCCGUCACACCAUGAGAGUUGAUAACACCCGAAGCCGGUGGCCUAACCGCAAGGAGGGAGCUGUCUAAGGUGGGAUUGAUGAUUGGGGUGAAGUCGUAACAAGGUAUCCCUACGGGAACGUGCGGCUGGAUCACCUC
rnacentral:rRNA from 1 species